rnacentral:rRNA from 1 species
UACGUAGGGAGCAAGCGUUGUCCGGAAUUACUGGGCGUAAAGCGUGCGCAGGCGGUGAUGUAAGACAGGUGUGAAAUCCCCGGGCUUAACCUGGGAACUGCAUUUGUGACUGCAUCGCUGGAGUGCGGCAGAGGGGGAUGGAAUUCCGCGUGUAGCAGUGAAAUGCGUAGAUAUGCGGAGGAACACCGAUGGCGAAGGCAAUCCCCUGGGCCUGCACUGACGCUCAUGCACGAAAGCGUGGGGAGCAAACAGG